rnacentral:rRNA from 1 species
CGGGAGGCAGCAGUGGGGAAUAUUGCGCAAUGGGGGCAACCCUGACGCAGCCAUGCCGCGUGAAUGAAGAAGGCCUUCGGGUUGUAAAGUUCUUUCGGUAGCGAGGAAGGCAUUUAGUUUAAUAGACUAGAUGAUUGACGUUAACUACAGAAGAAGCACCGGCUAACUCCGUGCCAGCAGCCGCGGUAAUGCGGAGGGUGCGAGCGUUAAUCGGAAUAACUGGGCGUAAAGGGCACGCAGGCGGUGACUUAAGUGAGGUGUGAAAGCCCCGGGCUUAACCUGGGAAUUGCAUUUCAUACUGGGUCGCUAGAGUACUUUAGGGAGGGGUAGAAUUCCACGUGUAGCGGUGAAAUGCGUAGAGAUGUGGAGGAAUACCGAAGGCGAAGGCAGCCCCUUGGGAAUGUACUGACGCUCAUGUGCGAAAGCGUGGGGAGCAAACAGGAUUAGAUACCCUGGUAGUCCACGCUGUAAACGAUGUCGAUUUGGGGGUUGAACUUUAAGUUUGGCGCCCGUAGCUAACGUGAUAAAUCGACCGCCUGGGGAGUA